rnacentral:lncRNA from 1 species
UUUUCUUCUCCGCUCCCCCUCACCACCCCCAGGAAAUGGCCCUAAGAAGCAAUCACUGGGAUUUCUCUUAACUGUCUUCAAUGCCGUGUCCUUUUCUCGCCUGGGGCUUUGUGCAAAGAAUCCCUUCAGCCCUCACGACACCGCCUUGCUCCCGCCUCUCCUCCCUCUCUGCUGGCGCCACCGCAGCCCCCACGCCCUAGG